UGCAAGUCGAACGAUGAAGCUCUUGCUUGCAAGAGUGGAUUAGUGGCGCACGGGUGAGUAAUGUAUAGCUAACCUGCCCCUUAGAGGGGGACAACAGAUGGAAACGUCUGCUAAUACCCCAUACUCCAUAUAGGCUAAAGUCUGUAUGGGAAAACUCAGGUGCUAAGGGAUGGGGCUGUAUUGUAUCAGCUAGUUGGUGGGGUAAUGGCCUACCAAGGCGAUGACGCAUAGCUGGUCUGAGAGGAUGAUCAGCCACACUGGAACUGAGACACGGUCCAGACUCCUACGGGAGGCAGCAGUGGGGAAUAUUGCACAAUGGGGGAAACCCUGAUGCAGCAACGCCGCGUGGAGGAUGACGCAUUUCGGUGUGUAAACUCCUUUUAUCGGUCAAGAAAAUGACGGUAGCCGAUGAAUAAGCACCGGCUAACUCCGUGCCA
rnacentral:rRNA from 1 species